rnacentral:ncRNA from 1 species
CCCGUGCCGGGGAGGCCUUAAAAGGGAAGCCGGUGAAAAUCCGGAACUGUGCCCGCAGCUGUGAACUCCUUAACGGUCCGGCAAUGAUGCCAUUGGGAAGAUUCUUCACUCCGUUCAGAAUGACCGAAUCUUCUUGAGAAGGCGCCGCGCCGGGAGCAGUCAGAAGACCUGCCUUGUCAAGU